rnacentral:ncRNA from 1 species
GCGGGUAAACGGCGGGAGUAACUAUGACUCUCUUAAGGUAGCCAAAUGCCUCGUCAGCUAACUACUGACGCGCAGG